UACGUAGGGGGCUAGCGUUGUUCGGAAUCACUGGGCGUAAAGGGCGCGUAGGCGGCUUUAUAAGUCGGGGGGUGAAAGCCUGUGGCUCAACCACAGAAUUGCCUUCGAUACUGUAGAGCUUGAGACCGGAAGAGGUAAGUGGAACUGCGAGUGUAGAGGUGAAAUUCGUAGAUAUUCGCAAGAACACCAGUGGCGAAGGCGGCUCACUGGCUCGAUACUGACGCUGAGGUGCGAAAAGCGUGGGGGAGCAAACAGG
rnacentral:rRNA from 1 species